UCAACUAUUAGGCUUUCGGGGGAUACGUGCCAGACGUUGGAACCGGGAGAGGUAAGAGGUACUACAGGGGGUAGGAGUGAAAGUACUUGGUAAGUCCCUGUGGGACCCACCUGUGGCGAAGGCGUCUUACCAGAACGGGUUCGACGGUGAGGGACGAAAGCUGGGGGCAACGAGCCGGAUUAGAUACCCGGGUAGUCCCAGCCGUAAACGAUGCUCGCUAGGUGUCAGGCAUGGCGCGACCGUGUCUGGUGCCGCAGGGAAGCCGUGAAGCGAGCCACCUGGGAAGUACGGCCGCAAGGCUGAAACUUAAAGGAAUUGGCGGGGGAGCACAACAACGGGUGGAGCCCUGCGGUUUAAUUGGACUCAACGCCGGACAACUCACCGGGGGCGACAGCAAUAUGUAGGCCAAGCUGAAGACUUUGCCUGAAUCGCUGAGAAGAGGUGCAUGG
rnacentral:rRNA from 1 species